ensembl:lncRNA novel transcript, sense intronic to ZNF536
UUUUUUUUUUUUUUUUUUUUUUUUUUGCCCAUCCCUCAGUGCACAUAGUUCUGGGCAGCUGUCAUGACUUUAGUUUUUUUAAGUACUAAAAUAUUUUUUUUUCUUCUGUAACUGUGCUAAUGAAAACGUGUGUAAUGAAACCUUCCUCCCCUGCCCAGUCACCAGCCAUAUUUAUUGGCAACUUUAGCUGACAUUUUAGGGAACGUCAAACCUUUGUUAGAGAAAAUGUAAGGCUUUGCUUUAGAAACAGGCAUGCCCAUGCAGAGAACGAGGUAACAAGGCAGUAGGCUUAAUAGAAUUUCCUUCAGACUUUUUUUCUAAUGUCCAUUACAUAUGCAACACUAAUUUACUUUUUGUUGUUUUACUUAGCACAGAAAUUGAAAAUGUGACAAGCUUUGCUGGAUUAAAAGGCUCAUUUCAUAGACACAUAGACCAAGAGAAAGAAGAAAAACAAAUCCAUAAUUUGGAACCGUUUAGGGCAUCCAGGUAGUAGAAAUUCAGUCUUCCCCAUCACUCGGGGCAUUUGUCGUGGGCCUGAGAUUUCUCUGGAACUGUCUCUGUCCUUUAGAAGUAGAUAAAAGUUUGGCCAUGUUUGGUCACAGAAGUCUUGAGUGCUUUGGGGAAAAAAAUCGUAUCAUGAUGUUGAGGUCUCUCACGUUCCACUUAGGGGCUGUUCCUCAGCACCAGGUCCUGGAUAAGAGGUUCCUGCGGGGGCCAGAAAAUUCUAGCUAGUGAGCAUCAGGGAGAUACGGUGUGUAAAGCAUCUCUGUUAUGGGUUGAGCUCAAGUUUUCUAGGGUGCUCCUCAUACGUGGAGUGUUUGCAACUCUUCCGAGAAGCACAGAGAGCAAUGGCUGCACAGAUACAAGGCAGCAGGGUGGCUACUAAAAUAACAACAAUAGUUAAAAUAUUAAUAGCAACCUGACCUUUCUUCUCAACCCUGCCCCUGUUUGCCCAUCCCUCUCAUUCAGCUAUUUUACUAAAAUAAUAAUAAAACUUCCUUAAAAAAAGGUUCAGAACAUGUGAAUAAUUAGUUAUAUGUAGAAACAUUGCUUAGAAAAACCUGAAUACUUGAUUCUGAGAUCAGAACAGAAUUGACUUGGAAAUCUGCACAGACAGACAAGGCAGACAGAGACAAGGUAGGGGGACCGUAGGCCCCUGGGAUGAGAAGUUAUGACUGGUUCGUUACAGCUAAGGUCAGUGUCCCGACAAGUGGACACUUUGCACUACGGGAACAGCUAUUGCCAGAAGCACUGGGCUCCUUGCAAAGUUGCAGGCGUCUUGCUUCGACUUCACUCCGCCAUUCCUUUUACAACUUGCAUUUUGAAGGCACCUGGUAAGGCUGGGAUGAAUCUGCUGUCUGAAGGGUGCGACAAUGGACUUAACCAGACUUCCAAUGUGCAGGCAGUGGCGAUGCUUCUGACCCAGCUCACGUGGACUUUGGGCUCAGUUUCUAGUACUGGGUCAGCUCUAUGGGUGCCCCAUCCUGUCAUCCCUCCUUCCUUCCAUCUAACCUAUGGCUCAAGAACAGGACCCAAGGACAUUGCUCCAAAUUAAUGUCCGGGGCCUUUUUGAGGGUAUUUCAGAACUUAAGACCCUGUAAUCUCAGCACUUUGGGAGGCUAAGGUGGGCAGAUCACUUAAGGUCAGGAGUUCAAGAACAGCCUGGCCAACAUGGUGAAAACCCAUCUCUACUAAAAAUACAAAAAUCAGCCGGGGGUGGUGGCGUGCACCUAUAAUCCCAGCUGCUUGGGAGGCUGAGGCAGGAGAAUUGCCUGAACCUGGGAGGUGGAGGUUGCAUUGAGCCAAGAUCAUACCACUACACUCCAGCCUGGGCAACAGAGUGAGACUCCGUCUCAAAAAAGAAAAAAAAAAAAAAAAAA